rnacentral:tmRNA from 1 species
GGGGGUGUAAUGGUUUCGACAGUUAUAUAGAAGUAGAAAUUGCAAGUAGUGGAAGGUCGCUUCGGCCACUUUAAAAAAAGCGAAAUUAAAAUUAAACGCUGAUAAUAGAGAAUUAGCAUACGCUGCCUAAGCGUGGCGUCAUCUUAUCUUAAAAUGCCUACGUUUUAGGAUAGGGUGUCAAAACUAGUAGGAUAACAAAAUUACUUUUUGCCUGGAAAGUAAUGGGUAUUUAAGGCUACUAAUAAAAGAGGUUUGUUUAUUUAUUAUUUUACUAGGAAAAUAGAAAAUAAACUAAACUUGUAACGAGGUUUCUAUGGACAUAUAAUUGGACAGGAGUUCAACUCUCCUCACCUCCACCA